GUAGGUGGCAAGCGUUGUCCGGAAUUAUUGGGCGUAAAGCGCGCGCAGGCGGUCCUUUAAGUCUGAUGUGAAAGCCCACGGCUCAACCGUGGAGGGUCAUUGGAAACUGGGGGACUUGAGUACAGAAGAGGAAAGCGGAAUUCCAAGUGUAGCGGUGAAAUGCGUAGAGAUUUGGAGGAACACCAGUGGCGAAGGCGGCUUUCUGGUCUGUAACUGACGCUGAGGCGCGAAAGCGUGGGGAGCAAACAGGAUUAGGUACCCUGGUAGUCCACGCCGUAAACGAUGAGUGCUAAGUGUUAGGGGGUUUCCGCCCCUUAGUGCUGCAGCUAACGCAUUAAGCACUCCGCCUGGGGAGUACGGCCGCAAAGGCUG
rnacentral:rRNA from 1 species